rnacentral:rRNA from 1 species
GUGAACGCUGGCGGUAGGCCUAACACAUGCAAGUCGAACGGCAGCACAGUAAGAGCUUGCUCUUACGGGUGGCGAGUGGCGGACGGGUGAGGAAUACAUCGGAAUCUACUUUUUCGUGGGGGAUAACGUAGGGAAACUUACGCUAAUACCGCAUACGACCUACGGGUGAAAGCAGGGGAUCUUCGGACCUUGCGCGAUUGAAUGAGCCGAUGUCGGAUUAGCUAGUUGGCGGGGUAAAGGCCCACCAAGGCGACGAUCCGUAGCUGGUCUGAGAGGAUGAUCAGCCACACUGGAACUGAGACACGGUCCAGACUCCUACGGGAGGCAGCAGUGGGGAAUAUUGGACAAUGGGCGCAAGCCUGAUCCAACCAUACCGCGUGGGUGAAGAAGGCCUUCGGGUUGUAAAGCCCUUUUGUUGGGAAAGAAAAGCAGCAGGUUAAUACCCCGCUGUUCUGACGGUACCCAAAGAAUAAGCACCGGCUAACUUCGUG